ensembl:misc_RNA Gm24011 predicted gene, 24011
AGAUGUGACGGCUCUCUGGCUGCGACAUCUGUCACACCAUUGCACACACCAGGGUUAAUUCAUCUGAUCUGGCUGGUUAGGUGGGGGUCCCCUUCCUCCUUCAUUUCUUAAUCUGUGCCCCACACAUACACACAAGCUGUUCACUCUGUCCAAGAGAACGACAGUCCUGGAUAAAGGAGGAUUGUUCUUGGGCCCAGGGUAUGGAUGCGGUGGAACCUCAAAAAACAAAACAAAACAAAAAAAACAAAAACAAAAACAAAAAACCGAGCUCUCCAAUGACAAAAUGUGGCUAAUAUUU